rnacentral:rRNA from 1 species
UACGGAGGGUGCGAGCGUUGUCCGGAAUCACUGGGCGUAAAGGGCGCGUAGGCGGCCUUCUAAGUCGAACGUGAAAUCCCCGGGCUCAACCCGGGAACUGCGUCCGAUACUGGAAGGCUUGAAUCCGGGAGAGGGAUGUGGGAUUCCAGGUGUAGCGGUGAAAUGCGUAGAUAUCUGGAGGAACACCGGUGGCGAAGGCGACAUCCUGGACCGGUAUUGACGCUGAGGCGCGAAAGCCAGGGGAGCAAACGGG